ACUAGAGGUUUUCCCGGGGAGCUCCUUCUAUGAUGGCGGUGAUAUAUGGGCACUUACCUUUGUUGGUCUCCUUGUUCUCGCCAUUGGUUCCUACAUUUGCACUCUUUAAAGGAGAUUUACAUUUAGGUGACUCUUCCAUGUCUAUUUUUUUUCCUUUUUCAUGUACUCGGUUAGUCGACCCCUCUUGAUCAGUCCUUCAAUGGAAUCCUUCAGCUGGAUGA
rnacentral:lncRNA from 1 species